rnacentral:rRNA from 1 species
CCUUCGGGUGGCAGCAGUGGGGAAUAUUGCACAAUGGGGGAAACCCUGAUGCAGCGACGCCGCGUGAGUGAAGAAGUAUUUCGGUACGUAAAGCUCUAUCAGCAGGGAAGAAAAAAAGUCCUUUGGACUUUGGACGGUACCUGACCAAGAAGCCCCGGCUAACUACGUGCCAGCAGCCGCGGGAAUACGUAGGGGGCAAGCGUUAUCCGGAUUUACUGGGUGGAAAGGGAGGGUAGACGGCAGCGCAAGUCUGGAGGGAAAUGCCGGGGCCCAACCCCGGAACUGCUUUGGAAACGGUGCAGCUGGAGUGGGGGAGAGGUAAGCGGAAUGCGUAGUGUAGCGGUGAAAUGCGUAGAUAUUAGGAGGAACACCAGUGGCGAAGGCGGCUUACUGGACUGUAACUGACGUUGAGGCUCGAAAGCGUGGGGAGCAAACAGGAUUAGAUACCCGAGUAGUC